rnacentral:rRNA from 1 species
CCUACGGGGGGCAGCAGUAGGGAAUCUUCCACAAUGGGCGAAAGCCUGAUGGAGCAACGCCGCGUGGGUGAAGAAGGUCUUCGGAUCGUAAAACCCUGUUGUUAGAGAAGAAAGUGCGUGAGAGUAACUGUUCACGUUUCGACGGUAUCUAACCAGAAAGCCACGGCUAACUACGUGCCAGCAGCCGCGGUAAUACGUAGGUGGCAAGCGUUAUCCGGAUUUAUUGGGCGUAAAGGGAACGCAGGCGGUCUUUUAAGUCUGAUGUGAAAGCCGUCGGCUUAACCGGAGUAGUGCAUUGGAAACUGGGAGGCUUGAGUGCAGAAGAGGAGAGUGGAACUCCAGGUGUAGCGGUGAAAUGCGUAGAUAUAUGGAAGAACACCAGUGGCGAAAGCGGCUCUCUGGUCUGUAACUGACGCUGAGGUGCGAAAGCGUGGGUAGCAAACAGGAUUAGAUACCCCCGUAGUC